ACUGAAACACAGCAGUAUUUUUGUAGAGACGCCAAUGGCGCAUCGUACAUCAAGCCUCCUGACGUCACGUCGAGAGGUAAACAAACAAGGUGGCGGGUAGGUAAAAACGUGGUGUGUUAUGGAUGGAGCCUGGAAGUUGGAUUUAUCGUAAAAUUCCUCUUUUUGUACGGCACAACAUCGAGAUAUAGUAUCUACAACAUUUAAAGGAGCUACAGUUUGAAUUUGGUGGAGAAUAUGGAUAAAGUUGAGUGAUCUUCAACCAUGAAUACACCACCACCCACAUUGCUGCAGAAUAUGAAAAAAGUUGAGUGAUCUUCAAGCCACAAAUAAACCACCACCACCUACCCUGCAACAGGAAAACACUUGCUGAGCAGAUUUAUUGUGGGUUAUCAAGACUAGAAUUCAGUAGGAGCUUGUUAGCGUAAAGCAGAUGAAUGAUGGGUAGACCGAUUUGUUGGAAGCUUGCUAAGUACAAAUGAAGCAGAUGAACUGUGGCAAACCAAGGCUGUUAUACAGAAGGUUGAGCAAUGAAUUGUGGGAAAGCCAGACUGAUUUGUUUGAAUUUGUAUACAGUACUGACAAUAGCUGUACGGUGCUUGAAGCUAGUGAAGUCAGAUUUUGAGAUAAUGCAAGUGAACUGUGGAAAGUCAAAUUUUGAUAUAGAAUUGUGUGGAAUAGACACUGAUUGAUUUGAAUCCUGCUACAUACGCUGUUGUUACCUGAAGCUUUGCAAACUGUGAUGUAUGGAAAUGAAGCAGAUGGAUUAUGGGACACUGCAAAGAGAUUUAUUGUACAUUCAUAAAAUUGGUGGUUAUGAAAAGAAGUCAGGUUUGUGAUAUACUGUACAAUAAUUAGUAACUUAGUAUUAAUCCGAUUAAAAUGUUGGCCCAAUUCUUGAAUUACUUAAAAUGCUGAGGAUUCUGGACAAUGAGUUGAUUAAUAAAACCAGAAAUGAGAAUGAGAAUGGUCCUAUUUUGGACUUAGUUAAAAUUUUGUACUGAAAUUGUAAAUAGUGUAAAUUGUUGGUCCUAUUCUGGACAUAGUGUAAAUUAUUGGUCCAAUUCUGGACUGGUUAAAAUUCUGGAAUAUUGUAAAUUAGUUGUCCUAUCUUGAACUUAGUGUGAAAUUAUGGACUUCUUGGACUUGGUGUAAAUUAUUGGUCAAAUUCUGGACUUGCGUAGUGUAAAUAUAAAUGGUUUAGUCCUAUUCCGGACUUAGUUAAAAUUCUGGA